AAUUUUCACACGAGAGUACUAUCUUUCUAACAUUUGUUUUAUUGGUUCCCAAAUUUUUUCUAAUUUCCCUAGUCCCAAUCAUAGUCUUGCAUUAAUUUGUUCCAUUUUGUAGACCUGUCUAACUCUGUCUCUCCACUGUGCCACCCUUGGUGGUUCUGUGUCCAGCCAUAAAACUGUAAUACACUUCUUGGCAGUCAUAAGCAGAAUUCUGAUUACGUAUGUCUCCAUUAUGUGUGUACAAUUUUUGGUACAGCAUUCCCAGUACAAACCAUUUUAACUUAAAUUGUAAUUUCACCUUCCAGGUUCUUUCAAUUUCUCCCUAACACCUUCCCAGAAUGGUAUGAAUUUAGGGCAGUCCAAAAAUAUAUGUGAAAAGUCUCCCACUAGCCCGCAUUUUCUCCAACAUAAAUUUGAAACAUUACUAUUUAGACAGAUAAGUGGAGUUUUAAAGCAUGCAUCUUCACCUUCCAUUCAAAUUCCCUCCAAGACGGACUAUUUGUAGUUUAUGGCCUGCUUCAAGUGUUUCCUCCCAUUCCUCAUCUGUUAUCAUUAUGUUCACUUCCAGUUCCCAUUUUUCUUUAAUAUCUAUAUUCUUAACAAUCAAAUCCUGUUGUAAAGCUUUAUAUAUUUUGAAAUCAGUCCUUUUUGACAUGUCCUUUCUGUUUAACAUAAUCACUUCCUCCAUAUUAAGUUUAUCCUUGCUUGAAACUUUGCCUUAUUUUGAAAUAACUACUCUGUCUGUCUGUCCUAAAUAACAUAUUAAGCAUGAAAUUACGAAUUAUUGUGAAAUUACACGCACAGGAAGUGCUUUUAUUUUGUAGCAUUUGCUCAGUCAGCUUUCGAAGCUUCUCAGCAGACCGAGAAGAAGAGCAAGGGUUGGAGGAGCAUUAACCUUCGGAGGUCGCGCUUUUGUUCUGCAUCUGCACUUGACAGUCACUGGUUCUGCACCACUGAGUUAAAUGUAAGUAGCCGCCGUAAAAGUUGCUUAAAUGUUUUAAAUGUUUUUAAGACGGACAUGGUGAGUAAUGUUGGCCACGUAGCAAGCUAAUAUGCUAAGUCAUUGCAUGAGUUAGCUGUGUUAUUAACUUUGUGUGUGACUAAAGUCCGUUUAUUUAAUGAAAUGAGCAGCGCUAUCUCAUUAUUAAAGGUUAGCAUUACUUUAGUUACUUUUUUAUUAGACUUCUAGAGACUUAUUCCCUCCAUUUUUGUCCCCUCCAUCAUAAUUUUUUAAACGUGACGUUCUGAGAAAAAAAUGAAAGCGGGAGUUCAGCGCCACCAAGUCAAACUUAAACGUCCACUUAUUAAAAGUAAAUGAGCAGUGGUCUCUUGUACAGCGAUGACAAAAUCAGUCUGUGUUAUAAACUAUUUCCCCGUAGCACCCGUGCGAUAGCUUUGCAAGCAGCCUGCUUUUUUUUAACCGUAGAAGAGGAUUGUGACCGCAAGAGACGAAGCGGUGCUGUAUCUCGAUGCUAUGUUCCCUCCUUCCCUCCAAUUUUGUCCCCUCCAUAGUUUUUUUAAAUAGUGCUCAGUUGCACAUAUCUUGAACCGCAGAACGCUGUUUCUAUUAAUUUCACAGUAUUUUAGUGUUGUAAUUUUGUCCUUACUGUACACUGUUACUCCAGAUUCUUAAAAGUUAUGUUUUUAGCUUUGUGUGGAUAAGUCAAAUUACACUUGAAUCUCCUCACACACACACACACACACACACACACACACACACACACACACACACACACACACACACACACACACACACACACACACACAAUUUAGAUGAUUAAUGACUUAGCUUCAUAUAUAUAGUGGAGGACUGCCUAAAUUUUUCAGACUAACACAGAUCUACCUUGUGAUUCACAAUGUUUUCUGUACUGAUUAUGCUUCCUGGUGUAGAUGUGUAAAUGUAGAGCAUCUGCGUUCCUAUGAGCUGUCAGCCACACCGGGAAGCCUGUCUAUGAAUCUGCAGUCAGACUUCAAUGAUCCAACCCCACUCUCUGCACACAAGAUUGAUGGCAUGCUGCUGUUGACCCCCAAGAGGUUCAUACAAGUGAGACCACUGGAUGAUACCAAUGAGCCGGACCUCAGGGAUGCAGCAGUUGUCCUCCUGACAACCAUCACAGAUGAUGCCGAGAGUCCAGUUACGUACGACCCAGUGAGAAUCUGUUAUCCUAGAGGGUGAUGUGAUUGUCAACCUCUCCAGCCUUCCUGAUGCCUUCCUGGGCGUGCUCAGUUGAAGUUUCCAUCUCUGCGCGUUCAAGAUGUAAGAAAAAUAACACGAAAGAAAUGCAACAACGAAAACUUCAAAAAGGCAUCAACAACCAAGCAAGUGGAUCCAUAAAAUGGACUGAUUUUUUUAAAGGCAUUUUUAAAAAGUCUUUCAAAAUGGACAGAAUUAACGCGUCAUGUUCAGAACAGUUUGCGUUCUCAUCUUUGAUUAAUCCUGGUAAACAGGUCUGUUUUUGUUCUGUUCUAAUUCUCUCUGUUUAAUAAAUUUAAACAAAAUGA